GGCUUAUUGUUUAUAAUUUUAAGUCUGACCUGCCCACUGAGGAGUUAAAUGGCCGCGGUACACUAACCGUGCAAAGGUAGCAUAAUCAUUAGUUUUUUAAUUGAAAGCUGGAAUGAAGGGUUUGAUGAAAGAAUAGCUGUCUCUAUAAAAAUUUUUUUAGAACUUUAUUUUUAAGUUAAAAAGCUUAGAUAUAUAUAGAAGACGAGAAGACCCUAUAGAGUUUAAUAUUUUUUUAGUUUAAAUAAGGUUAAGGAUUUCAAUGUAUUAAAAGAAAAAAGUAUUUUAUUGGGGUGAUGGAAAAAUUAAAUAAACUUUUUUUAAAUCAAAUCAUUUAUUUAUGAGUAUAUGAUCCUUGGAUAAAGAUUAUAAGAUGAAAUUACCUUAGGGAUAACAGCGUAAUUUUUUCUAGAGUUCUUAUCGAAAAGAAAGAUUGCGACCUCGAUGUUGGAUUAAAAUGAAUUAUUGGUGUAGAAGCUAAUAGAUUGGGUCUGUUCGACCUUUAAAAUUUUACAUGAUCUGAGUUUAAACCGGUGUGAG
rnacentral:rRNA from 1 species